UCCCUGAUGGUCCAGUGGUUAGGACAUGGCACUUUCACUGCCAAGGGCCUGGGUUCAGGCCCUGGUCAGGGAA
rfam:Ovis aries breed Texel chromosome 1, whole genome shotgun sequence.